UACGAAGGGGGCUAGCGUUGCUCGGAAUCACUGGGCGUAAAGGGUGCGUAGGCGGGUCUUUAAGUCAGGGGUGAAAUCCUGGAGCUCAACUCCAGAACUGCCUUUGAUACUGAGGAUCUUGAGUUCGGGAGAGGUGAGUGGAACUGCGAGUGUAGAGGUGAAAUUCGUAGAUAUUCGCAAGAACACCAGUGGCGAAGGCGGCUCACUGGCCCGAUACUGACGUGAGGCACGAAAGCGUGGGGAGCAAACAGG
rnacentral:rRNA from 1 species